rnacentral:lncRNA from 1 species
CCGCAUGAAGGGUACUGGGGUGCUAUGGUAUGCCCCCUGUAGGAUUAAGUGAGCCUGCCCGGGCCCCCUACCUGCUUAGCCUUUGUUGGGUAAGCUGCCCCUGUUGGCUUGGGGAUAAGUAAGAAAGGGGAAGGAAUGAGAGAUCCAGUUCAUCCUCAUAGCAAGAAAAAGGAUCCAGAGCUAAGCCCCCUCCCAUUCGAGGCUGGGUGGCCUCGCCCCACAAGCACCCAACCUUCCUUUUGCUCUUCCUUGAAUCUCGUAUCACUGCCAACCAUUUGGUGGUAAAGUCCAAACCCAUUUCCCGAAUGAGGCCUCUUUCUUCAUUUGCAUGAAAUAUAUCCAACCAAGAGAGUCGUGCAACCUCCUGAACCUCCUUAUUAUCUUGACCUGCAGGUUCUCCAGCGCGAGGCUCCUAUUUACUUUACUCCCCGAGGCUUAGCGCAGGCGAAUCCCAAGCAAGUAUUAGUUUUGACUAUCUAUAGCAGCAAAGAGUUCACAUCUGGUCAGUCUUUUUGAAAACUUUGACUGUUAGGAGGAUAUUGGGAUCCCUCAACUCUGUAUUUUUCUCUUUCAUCUUUAAUCCCAUGACAUUAAAGACUACAUUAUUCAUGAGACAGUCUUAGUGAUUGAAUCUUGACUCGCCCUUUGGGCAUUCACCCUAGUAGGUUUGGUUCUCUCUCUUUCCGGGCCGGGCGGGAGGUGAAGGCCAUAAGAGAAGAUUGCCCUCCCGAUAAGGAAGAGGGGAAAAAGGUGCUGUCAUCUAUCUCGACCAGUUUCCCGAGGCGUUGGAAAUCCAGACCGGCUCAGAGAAUCACUGGCGCCUUUGGCGCCCUUCGUUUGAGCCCAAUUUCUCUUCUUUCCUAUCCGGCUUAGUCUUUGCCGAGCUUCUUUCUUCCUUCCUUGGCUCAGAAGAGUGACUUUCGUUCCUAUCCAACUCAUGAGAAUGCUUUCACUCAUUCCCGGCUUAGCCGAGUCUUCAUUCCCUUGCCUUUGGUUCACCCCAAGACUCAGUGAUAAGAUAUACGCGGUAAGCCGACUCCCUUCUUUACUGCAAAGUAGACUGCUUACUAUAGGGAAUACCCGGAUUAGAUUGAGCCUUUCCUGUCCAAGAUCUUAUUUUCUUUCAAAGCUAAGCCUUCACUCCGCCAUACCAACUACUGGUCAAGCUUAACUACUCUCCCUACGAGCUGUUUUCAACUCAUAUCCCGGUGCGAGAGUCUCUGGGCAAGAAGUCUGUAAAGACGAUAUAAAAAAACCAGUUCACUCAGCUAUAAUAGUUGAGCCCGUACACAUGAAGGCAUGCUUGCUUGCCUCCCUUAUUAAAAGGCACAUCACUUAGACUGCUAAAAACUGAUGCAAGCAAAGUUCCUCAGUACCUCUGGGCCGAAGCCUUUAAUAAAGCAGUGCAUAUGAAUUACUGAUUGCCAUCGUCGACUAUUGCUGGUGACUCCCCUCAUUAAAAGCUUUUUCAAAAGAUUCCAGACUAUUCCUAUUUCAAAGCCUUUGGAUGUCUCUGUUUUCCUCAUAUUUAUUGAUGCUUCACAAAGAAAGAAGUUUUCUCAAAAGAAAAUCGUUCUUGUUGGAUAUAGUGAAGAACAUAAACAUAAAGGGCCGGUUUGAUGAAAGUCGAUUUGGCUAUGGUAUGCUUUUCUUUCGAGCUAGGUAGUGAGCGGACUAACCCUAAAAAAGGGAGAGAGAUUCAACCGCUAAAGAAAGCUAGCAAAUCGACGAUUUGAAGUCGGUUCGGGCCCUCCUAAAGAGGAGAGCCAGUCCCUUUCCCCUGCCAAUUAUUCAAUCAGCUUCAAGAUCUUGUGAAUAGUCUCUCGUGGAACGCACCUUGACAUAACUUUCUAUUCGGCUAAGAAAAAGACCUCUCCCUGCGAUAGAUCUGCCUUAACGGGGGAUACAGUCUGCAUGAAACAUUCACUUAGUUGAUAAUUCCACUCCCCUAUGUGCCAAUCGCUAGCGCAUCCAGGGCCCCGGCGCCCAGCUCAGCUGGAGAGGCCUAGCCUGAUUUGAGAAGUGCUAAUUCGGUUCGGAUAGACUUCAUUCAAGAAUGCCGCCGCCCUUGGAAUCAAUAAGAAAACAAGUGCUAAGUUUCAGAUCAGUGAAUAACCCGAAACGAAAGAAGAGACAUUUCUCGCUCGGCGCCUAAAGCGCACUAUGCUCCGCUUCAACAAAUGAGAGUUUUCGGUGGAACCGGUGAACCACGCGAGCUGGUUAGAUGCGUGGGACAGAGGGCUCGUAGUACCUGCUAGCGCAGCUAUGCAGUGGAAGGGAAGGAGCCUAAAUCGACCCCCUUCUUUUUUUUUCAAAGAAAAAAAAAGCAGUACAAGGAGACUUUUAUGUCGGAUGAGACUAAGCAGCUACCGACCGUUCCGACGCGCCCUUGACCUAUCUUGAUUAAAACCAAAAACCUUGGAGUGAGGUUGCGUAUAUUAUAGAGUGGCAGUUGCCUAUUGACAGAAGUCAUCUCUACGCACACUAACCCUUAGUAUACUUUUGGCUCUAGCCUAGAAUAGAAUAAAGUCCCAGUGCAGAAGUAGAGAAUUCAAGUGAAAAAGCACAGGCAUCUUUAGAUCGUCAAGUACUUCCCGAUAGUACCCAUUUUGGUUUCGUCCAGUCAUUAAUAACUUGAUUCUUUUUAGAUAAUAGUAGAUAGAAACAACGCUUGUAAGGGAGGAAGAAAUAAGGGGAAGUAAUCAUAAUGGUAAACCAGAGUAUAAGCUUGAUCCGCCUUCACUUCACUUACAUAAUUUCUUGAGUUAGACCUAAACUAAUAUGGACUCAGAGGCCAAGAGUUCCGACUAUCGAACUAUCGAAUUAAAGAAGGGAGAAAGCCCGGGGAACUGGCCUGUGCCUCUUCUAUUACAUUACAGAGAAGUCCAUUCUCGUCAUGAUCGAUCCACGCCCUACCGUAGUGCCCGGAGAACCAGGCUUGCUUAGCUUACAAAGCUAGCUUACUAAGGCGAAGGAAUUUCUCGUUGAUUGCACGAGCUAGCCAGCAAACCCCCCCUUACUCAUCUCUCUCUCUAUAAAAAAAGCCCUUUCUCCCCUUCAUUCUACUUAUUAGACUUGGUUUAGGUAUGAAUCUUGAUCUCAUGUGGGCUUUGGGGGAUUUAGUUGGUGGAGACGUCAACGAGGCCGGGUCAAUGCUCGUUUUUAUGUCUAUUUAAGAAGCAUUCUCUUGUAGCUGUAUUUAUGGUUGGCCGCGAGGCUCUCUAUUUCAACGGUUUCUUUUUCCCAAAAGCACACGAAAUGUUCCAAAGGCUUUGAAAUAGGAAUAGUCUGGAAUCUUUUGAAAAAGCUUUUAAUGAGGGGAGUCACCAGCAAUAGUCGACGAUGGCAAUCAGUAAUUCAUAUGCACUGCUUUAUUAAAGGCUUCGGCCCAGAGGUACUGAGGAACUUUGCUUGCAUCAGUUUUUAGCAGUCUAAGUGAUGUGCCUUUUAAUAAGGGAGGCAAGCAAGCAAGCCACUGAUCUAACACUCAAUCGAAACUUGUUCCAUUGCACUUAUGGUUAUACUUAUUACCUACUAAAUCUCUUUACGUUCCCCAACACAAAUGCAAAAAAACACAAUGCAACUUUGCUGAAAGAUGAAUGCGGUAACAAUGGGGGGUGGUCUUUAUGGCGCACAGAGUGGCAGUGACUCGCGCAAGUCGAGUGAGAAAGAGGACUUUCUCUCUCUCGCCCGACUCGCCCCCCCUAUAUAGUCAAGCUUUGGCAGCUCCAGUAGGGAAGAAAGAACCUCGAAAAAACCCGGCUCCAGCUACCUUUAGCGGCUGUGGGGAUCGCUCCCUGUGAUCUCGGUCGGUUCGGCUGCGACUGAGCCGUCUCUUCCACUUCUUUACCCGCGGACUCCAGAACACAUUCGGUAGGCUGUCUUCCUUCGACACUCUGUUCAGCAGCCUUUUCUGGAUCACCAGCCGACUCAAAACCAACGGUCGUGAUCCCAUUAACAGUCGCAUUAUAGCCAAUGCUAUGACUUCAAUGUCUGUACAUAGCAGGUAUGGCUCUUUAAAUCUUACUUCAGCUAAUCCUAAAGCAAGAAGGCAUAGAGUCGAUCUACCUAUGACGCUUGUCAAUGGAUUUGCUUUGUUCAAUUGAAGCUAAUGCUAUGCCCCUUGAAAAAGAGAAAGCGAGGACUUUCUUUUAGCUACCGGCCCAAACAAAAAAAAGAGAUUAGCUUGUAAGGAUCCCAUGCGUUGAUCAAUGCUCAAGGGAAGGGCAAAAGAAGAAGAAGAGCUAUUCUUUACAUGAUACGCUACUUGAUCGUCCCGAUAUCAUGCUUGGUACUGGCUCUGAUCCUGAUAUGAUUUAUGCGGUUCUGCCUGAUCAAAAUGAUGUAUUGGUGUUAAUGGGAUUAUCCCUAGAUAUACAGAUAGAAUAGAUGUUCAUGGAUAGACAAACAUUCCAUUGAUUCUUAGUUUUUGGGCUGAAAAAGCUCGUCGAUCCAAAUGAAUCAUUCUUCUGGUCUCUCUUCACUCUCCGCCCCGAAACUGACCCACGGCACAGCGCCCAUUCGCUUCGCUAAGGGAAGGCAAUGAAGUUCAGUGCCCCCCUUAUUUUGCCCUUCCUCUAAGGGGUUGUUGUGUAACAAGCGCAUAAUGUCCACUGGAACGUCCAUGGAUUUUAUAUCAUAUCUCUUUCAACUUUAGGAAUUUAUUUGAAAGAAGAGACAAGAGCAGUUACGCCUUUUUCUAAUCCCGGAUAAGCAGCUAAGAGCCUUUCAAUAGCGCAGCGGAUCUUGCUAACAUUUUAGACUCUACUUAGUGAGUUGCCUACCCUCGGGUUCCUUCACUCGCUUAAGAGAACAAGAAUCUUUGCUCUUUCCAGACACCGACACUUUGACUUACAUUCAGCUUGUGUUCCGUGGAGUAGCUUCUUUAUCCCGUCGCAGCCCCUCAUCAUAGAAUGAUACAGGCUAAACCGGGAGGAGUAGGUAGAGUUAGCUUCCGAAGGAGACAAGACGGCUGCAAUUGUGGAAUAAAAGGACGGGCUGGUAAGAGCCUUUUUCCACGGAAGGUACCCUUUCUAAAGGUAACUUCCAGCCAUGUAUGAAAGGGGCGUCUUCUAAGGCUCGUUCUCAUCGAGGAGCAUGGAAGGAAGAAUGGCUCGACCGUACGUAGGCUCCUUCGUGUGAAUAAGGGCAGAACAUCGGCUCUAACCAAUGAUUGCCAGUUCCUAAGCUCCGGCCUAAAGACAACUGCCUUCUCAACCCACUCGUACGGCUCGUUCACAACUCUCAGGUCCCAAUUGACACCCGAUUUCUGAUAGAAUUGCUGGUCUGCUCCGCUGUAAAAGCCGGCAUUUAUGGAAGCCACCAAGAAUGUGUCCUCUGGCGUUGGGGACCCCAUCCUCGGCUUGGGCAUGGGAGUCAAAUGUAUCAACCUCAGUGAAAAGGAACGAUGGGAAGAAUCGACGAGGAAUCUAGAACAUAAAAUCGUGAAUGAAAAAGCGGAAUCUCCUCCGAUUGCUGCUUUCGGGACUAUUUACUAGAUUUAUAUAGUUAUAACACUCUAACUAACUGACAAAGCGUCUGUUCACGGGGGUUGUAGUUUUUUUCGAGAUUGGGUUGGUGUUCAGUGUACCGGGCACAAGAUCGAAAAGAAUGCGAAGCUUUCCAUGCCCAAAGACUCCCAUGCCUUUCUUGGUUGGACCAACCCAACCGGCCAUUUCCGACAAGUCUUUCUUCAUUUUGAGAUGGGAUUUUCGCUAAUGCGGAUUCGCGAAGAAAGGAAAGUCAACCGACUUACUUUUUUGCUCCCAGUCAAACUUUCCUGGAUUACUUAAUUGGUGGUACCCGAAUCAAUCCACCAUGCAUAAGUAGAUAAAAAAAAAUCAAGCAACUUUUCAGACACCAGGGCAUAGUGAUUACCUUCCGUCACUCCUUAAAAAACCGAAGCUUUGAACUUAAUCUCGUGCAAUCCUUUAUUAUGAUUAUGGUUGCAAAGCGUAGUGAAAGAACAAGAAGACAAGGAUAAUCAGACUCACUAAAGGACUCGAUGUAAAAAUAAGGAAUCUAUUUUGGGGGGAACUCGGCAGAAGAUCGGUCUGUAGAUUCAUAGAUCGGUCGUUCCAGAUGUGAUGUUGCAAGCCGCCGAUCAACGCAACCACUUAGAUCAAAAUAGCAUUGUUCUAACAUAGAGUAGAAUCGAACAUUGAAGAGAUUAAUUGACAACAGUAAAAAGAUGGGCGCCUAAUUCCAAUACAAUAGAGCCCGACAAAGGGGAUAUCAAGAUUCCCGUGCGAAGGGACGAGCGAAAGACUUCCAAGUAAGCUAGGCUUACCCUUCCCCUCUUCGAAUCUGAGAUGAUAGUUACCUUUCUAACUGCGCAUUCUUCUCAAAAUCAAGUGCAAUCAAUAAAUAAGAGGAGUUCUAUUCUUUUUAAAACUUCAACUGCGGCUUCUAUAAAGCGGUUUAACCUUCCUUAGCGGGGACCUUUAUGCUACCAGCCUCUGCUAUUGACACUCUUUCUAUACUAUACGAGCUGUAGGAUAAGAUCACUGCCAUCUCACGAAUUGGACUCGCCGUAGGUAAGCUCUAUUCGGUCCGGAGCAUUGAUUCCCUAUAACGAAUAGGCUAGCGGAACGAAUUGAAUGCGAAUGGUAUUUGUCUUUUCGCAGCAUUCGCGGCUGAACAUGAAGGCUAGCUACUAGCGCUAACGGAUCUCGUUGUGAAUGAUAUUGACUACUCCGGCUACCAGACUAUCGACUAGACAAAGGCAUACUCAGAUCAGUCAUUCUAAGCGCAAGAAGGCGUAUGCCAAGGACAAACUUCCCGAAGGAGCAGGAACUGCCAUUCUAACUCUUCUCGGGAGAAAGGUCAUCUACUGCCGAUGGAGUAAGCGCUAAGGAGCUCAUCCCGAGUCUUUGUACUUGCCCAAAUCCCCUGCUUGCAAGGGAUCGAACUGCUCAACAAAGUCACUCCUUGAACAGAAGCCCGAGACUCUUUCGCAAUUCCGUCCAAUUGGAAGGGUUUUGGGUGGGAGAGAGACCACUGGAAGACUUAUUCGUUUAGAUAGAGAUAACAGAGCUAUACAUCAAAAAUAUUGAACUCAGUAUCCCCCAGGCGUUCACUAAAUGCAUUUUGCUUACAGUCACUAGGAAAGGGGUUCUAGUAACGAAAGAUUCCUUCUAUAGGUAGGCCACAUUUAUCAUAUUCAUUUCAGUGCUUUUUUUCUACCAUUUUUGAAAGCAGGGGCAAGUCAGGCAUAAUUAUUUCCCGGGGGGAUCGUUUCCAUUUACAUAAUAGUUAAGCUUCUCGCGCAUUCGUGCUUGCUGUGAAAGUGAUCUUUGUAAUCAAGAGAUGGGGCGUUCUCUCUCCCUACUUAACUAACAAGCAAUGGGGACAAAGGCCUCGAAUCCUGUCUUUGACGGUGAUCAUAGCGCUGGGAAACUGAUCAAAUGUUUUCUGUCUCAAUGUCAGUGUGAAAGUCCUAAUAUCUUUACGAGGUCGAAAUAGCAUCACAGAAAGAGCAGCCGGAACCUACUCCCAGUUGGACCUGGUUAAGAUGCUGCCACCCUAGAUUCCCUUCGGCGGGAGAAGUCCCCAAAGUCAGGUUUUCUUCCUUGAGACUUGACACUGUAGAAAGUCUUCCUAUUAAGCUAAGGCCGGAUUCUCUUUUUCUUCCGACGAUCUUCGUUGCUGAUUCCUCCAUCCUAGGAGGGGAAGUUUCUCUUUCAUCAUCAGCAAGAGAUUGAAAUCUCCUGGAAUAUUGACAUCAAUUGCUGCAAAGGCAAUCACAAGUGAAGCAGAGAAAAAAGAUUUGCAUGCAAGCAUGUGAAUAAAUUCGAUUCUAUUUGAUACUUACCAGGUAUCUCAGAGGCUGGUUUCGCACCCGUCUCCAUCUCCAUUGCAGCAGAUUCAUUGAUUCCAACCGAAGCUGGAAUCUCUUCUGCUAUCUUCUCUCUUUCUGUCCUUCAUUUAAGACAGAAAAAAUAAAGGCUGGUUGAUAUAUAUAAGGUGGACUGGGUCCCGGCCCUGUCCUACAUCGCUUCUUUCUAGAAAAGGUGAUCCUCCCAAACCUAGAAGAAGGACAACCUGAAUUGAAAUUUGCAUGCUGGAGGGGAUGGUUUUUAAUCCCUGCGCCACAAUCUCACCCUCCGCACUUAAGAGGUAAGGAUGCUUUUGAGUGCCUGUACUACAUACAGGAUUGUCGUAAGUCCACUCAUUCAACCAUUUCUCUGUGAAUUGCAUACAAAAGGAAAAGGUAGUUGAUCGAUUCCGCCCUUUAGCUUGGCACUACUUUACUGAAAGCGAAUAGUGCGCUACGCACCUUCGACGCUGGGGAAGGCAAGGAACUUAUUUACUAUUUCCAAAGGCCGACGAAUACCAUGUAGUAAAGAUAGAGAACCCAUUGGACUGAGCGAGGGGAUGGUUCUUAUUAGAAAGAAAGCAUUGGUACCGUACUGGCUUGGCACGCUACGACCGAUACUGCACUCCUACCAAGCCUUCUCUCUUUUCUUAUGGAUAACAUAGAGCUCUAUAUAGUAUCCCCCUCCCUACUAGGACAGGUUUGGAAGCUAGGACUGAUUAGACCGUACUGUACAUCCUCUUCUGGGCAUCGUCAUCGAUCCCUAAGACCCUCUUAUGUGCUACGUCCUACUCCUACUGCAGAUAGAUGCCGACCCGCUUGACUGCUUGACUUUGCCUGCUUUCCUGUCUCAACAAUAAGAUAAGAAAGGAAAUCAGUCCCUAAGCUGCCUAAUUCCUUAUCCUCCGUAUAGUCAAGGGCCUAUUCUCUUUAUUCUCUCCCUCACCUCUGUGCGCACCGGUAAUUCCUUCACAGUUCAAACUCCCUUUGACUGCUAACUCUUAGCAAUAUCCUUUCUUAUAUACUUGCAGUUCAGUUCCAAACCUUAGGGCAAUGAUAAGAUAAAGAACCGCUCCGCACCUUCCCUAUGUGCAAUGCGAGAAGUUCCUUGGUUUAUAGAGGUAAAUCAGUCAGACAUGCCAUGUUCAGUCUAAUUGCCCUAUAGGUCUUACAGACUAACUCUUCCUAGUGUCAGAGCUAAUCGAAUUGGGAUACCUUAAAUAGUCAAGAUCUUUCCCCUAUGUCAGUUGGAUUCGUGAAAAGAGAACAGCUCCUUCUUUGCAUCAGUUACCUUUCAAGGCUUUGGCUAGGAAGAAUAGGCAGCUAUUGAAUCCGGGGCUAUGGACUCAGCCGUUGCACAUAACUUAAAACAAUGCCAAUUACCAGUCGCAGUAGCAAUAGGAUAAGGCACGCAAGGUGACGAAGGAAAGGCAGAAGUCCCACAGCGUUUACGCCGACAACAGCCUAUUCUGUGCAUUGUCUCAUUGAUCCGAUUUGCAAACAACCUAUUUUAUUUUGACUAACAACCUACGUCUUUUUUGUUCUUUUGAACCAAAAUUUUUUUUGUCUUUUUGAUUUGAGUUCAUAAUAACUGGCAGGUUUCAUUAAUGAAAAGAAAAGCGGUUUUUUUUCCAUCUGCUAGCAUUGUGGUUUGGAAUCGAUUCUUUAUCAACGGCCCACCCUUUCUUUGAACCUUGUCAAUGAUCGAACUUAAAGAUAUGAACUGAGUGCCAUUUGAUGAGUAACUGAGAACAAAGGAGAGGGCCGUCAACAAUUAAUGACGAUACUGUAGCAAGGGCUUGGGACUAUUCCCACCUCCCUCCGAAGCAUUCUCCUAAUCAAAUGACUUGUGAUAAAACAUUCAUACUAAGGAUGAAUUCAAUUUCUCGAGACUCGAGCCUAUAGAGGUUCGUUCGGGAUUGCUAUCUUUGAUUCAACCGUUCUUUUUAGACAACGGAUUUCGCUGGGCGAAUAGAGUCCCGAUGGCCCCGCAGAGAAAUAGCAGCCGAUCUUAUGAAAGAAGCCCUUCAUAAGGCACUCAGGUAAUGAAAGAUAAGUGCUUCCCACAGGAAUCACUGUUUUCGGGCGAAAGUGAAACCAUCUGCCUCCUUCGACUAGAGGUCAGUCAAUAGCGGCGGCCAAAUCGAUAGUCCUUGAGGGGAUCUCUUACUUCAUUGGAACGGGAACUGACAAAAAAUUAUGGAUAGAUCCCUGGUUGAACGGAGCGGGCUUGGACGCCGACCGAUCAGCUAUCUCAGUAGUGGUAAAGAAACUCGUUUUUCUUCCUGAGUGAACGCAGGGGAACUAUCCUUCAAAUUCCACCCAUUCCGGAUCCUGAUGCGGUUGAUUCAUAUAGUGGUCGAGAAGUUGGAGCUCAGAUGGGAGAAUACCAAAUAGGGUAUGCUGAUAUAAAAGCUCACUUAGGGAAGAGCGGAUGGAAAGAGGAGGCCUUUGCUCUAUCUGCUUCUUCCUCUUCCCAGGAAUGAACAAUUGGAUUCAAAAAAAAUGAUUUUUCUAGUUGUGAUGCGAACAGGCCUUUACUUAUGAGAUUAGUUGAGUAGGCUUGCGUUAGCUUUUUGGGUAUGAACGAGAUGGAAGAACCAAUGUAAGAUAGACAGACCGGAUUCCAGUGUUAAGUAUUUCCCCUACGAGCGAAGGAAAAGAGGGAAAGAAUCGAACCUUUCGUCUCAUGUGACACUCCUCAGCCCGAGGACAAUCUCUCAAAAAAAUACAUUAAGAUGUAGGCUCUACCUACUAUACCAACGGAGCAAAGCCCUUUCCAUACGCUAUCGAUUGGUAUAGCUCAGAAUGGUUAAUGAUACUGACAGAGAAGGGUAAACUAAACUCCUGCCAAUUUUAUCUUGCCUCCAAACUCAAGCGAGCACUUUAUGGCCUUAAAUUAAACAAGCACCCUAAAGGGGCUAUAGCUGUCCACAAAUUUCGUGUAGUAAUUCGGGUUGUUGAUCUACCGCACCCGAAAUGGCUUUCUCAUAUUGGGGCGUUCCGGUGACGUUCGAUCGCGGUACCCCGCUGCAUAAAGCACUACAAUUGGUUUUUCAAUGGCAAGUGCCGGUCGUCGAGGCUGCUGGCACGGAGUUAGCCGGGGUUUCUUCCUCGAGUCUUGUCAUGAUCGCGCACUCGAUGAAAGAGCUUUACAAGCGGCAUUGCCCUUCUUCACUCACGCGAUAUUGCUAGAUCGGGCUUUCGCCCAUUGUCCAAGAUUCCCCACUGCUGCCCCCCGCGGGAGUCCGGGCCGUGUCUCAGUCCCAGUGUGGCUGAUCGUCCGAAAAGACCAGCUAAGCAUCAUGGGCUUGGUCAGGUAAAGAGAGGUUAAGCAUGACUUCCCAUAUCAAUGCUCCCUCCUUUCAAAGCAGGUUUUUCCACUGAUGUAGAUAAAGGCUCCAUUCCUGCCGCAAGGAAGGCAGGGAGUAGCACUAGUCUCAGGGACAUGCCCAGAAGAGGCAGUUUUUCUUUUAGAGAUAGGGAAAACAUUUGCUCCAGGUUGCUAAACACCAUUCGUGGAGCCGUGUGGUCCAAGCUAAAGAGAAGAUGGAAAACUUCGAAACAACUUAGGAGUAGGGGCUUACGGUCCACGCAUUAAAGUGCUUCUUUUUGGUUUGAAAAAGCGACUUUUUUUCUCUUUUAUGCUAUCAAGCUGAAAGACCUCAGUCGUAGGGCUCAGAGACAGUCGGUCCGUAGAACCUAUAAAAAGGAGAUGGUUGUGGCGCGAAGUACUCUUGUGCACCUACGUCAUUCGACUGGCGCGCAAGCCCGUCCCGUUAUCUUAUGGAAGAAUUGAGCUUAUUGCUGGGCUGGUUAUUCAGAGCCAGCAAUAAGCUGUCGGAUUUCGUCCCGCAACUAGAAGAAGAUGGCUUCGGGGGUCACUGUGGUGUGGCUGAAUGUAGAGCAGUCCGCCCUUACAGUCUUUGAUCAGUAGAUUAUUUAGAACUUCGGAAGAUGGUCAAGGCUUUUAUACCAAGCCACUGCACUAGAUGGGCAUGUAGUCGUCGUAGUAGUCGGCCCAAAAUGCCUCUGUUCUUUACUAAAAUACUAUUUCGGAUGAAUGGGGAAUUACGUCGCUCUUUGAUCUGCAGAAUAAGGCCUAGGAGCUCUUUCUUUUAUGGCAGAGAUCUCUCCACACCAAGAAACCGAAUCAUAAUGGAUCGAAGCCCUCCUUUUCCUUCCAAUUACUGAGAUUCUAUCUCUUACUUGAGAAAUUGUAGUCAACCCCGACUACACCUUCCUCGGAAUCGAGACUUUUUACAAUUUCCACUGACGAGCUUUCUCGCGAGCUCUUUCUUCUCGGGAACAUCUCGAAAUCGAGCGGGCAGAAAAGAAAUUGUUUCAACCUAUAAAAAAAACAUCUGUUCCCAUGUAGUCGGCAUUCUAGAAGCAAAGCUUCCCGAGAAAGAAGGACUAUGAAAGCCAUAAAGACAUUGACAAGUCCAUCUUCUUUUCCCUCUGCCGAUGAUCUAUCUCCCUCUCUUACCUAAGAGAAGCUUUAGAGGGAAUAGGGGUGAAACGACUUUUAUGAGCUGUCUCAGUAGUGACUGUGUGAUUAGUGGCUUAGCUGUUAGCUGUCUAAAAGCUACGGUCAAAAUAAAGCCCUUUAUUAAUUGAAAAUAAACCACUAAUACGCCUUAGGUACUCUUUUAAGUCCGUAUAUGUAAAAGAAAAGAUUCACUCCCAAUAUACCAUUCAUCAGACGAUUAGUGCAUCUCCGAUCUCCUUCGUGCUAAUCUCGACCCAAGGACGUAUAGAUGAAGUCCCAUGGUUUAGUUUAAAUCAUAUAGAAAAGUAUGACAAACGGUCGUAGUCAUCGAUGAGAUAAAUUCCUAAGUUCACGUAUAAGAGCAAAUAGGCAGGACUGCCAGAAAGAAGGACUAUGAAAGCCAUAAAGACAUUGACAAGUCCAUCUUCUUUUCCCUCUGCCGAUGAUCUAUCUCCCUCUCUUAUUGACCUUGGAACCCUAUAUGAGAAGUAGGUUAGCGGACAGGUCCGUGCUGGAACCGACUAGCAGAUGUGGCCUAUCGGUAAGAGGAAGCUCGGGAUUCGUGCCAUGUAUGUGGCACACAACUGGUUUUAUCGAUGUGAAUCAACAAAUCACAGGAAAAUUGGGUCACGUAGAUCUUCUAUUCUUCCUAGGAUGCUCCGAUUCUUUCUGAAGUUCAUCAUUGGAAACGCCUUCGACUUUAUUUUCUAUUUACUAGCCUCUCAAAUAUGGUUUGGAACUCAGUUCUAUCUAUGAGGUAAAGAUACCCUGAUUAAGGCGGUGCAAGGGACAGCUAGCUAUAUAAAAUCGGUAGCCCCGGGCGGAGCAGCUCGAAGAGGGGCAUCUAUCUCUAUUGAUCGAGCUGAAGGAAGGGCUUCAUAGCCUUUACCUUAUUCCGGGGAGGAGAAAAGGAAGUCAAGUGCUACUUAUUACAAAAGGCGAACCCAGGUAGUGAGCUAUUUAUAGCGAAGGAGUUAUCGACCCGCCCGAGAACACUAUAAGGUGGGUCUACCAGUCCAAGGGGGAGAACUCAGAACUCAUUAGCUCGAAAAGUCAUUAGCUAGAUAGGAGAUAAAUACCUUAUGGAGCGGAAGCAUUGGAUAUAAGCGAGUCCUACCGUACCUCCAAACAAAAGGAGGAUUGUUCUGUACAUGGACGGAUGUAUAGGAACAGGUACGGCGGUAUCCCGAAUACAAAUAAAAAAACUGUGUAUGAUAUGGCCCAUUGACAUAAUGCGAGAGCUGUUUAAGAAAGAGGCGGAACAUCGCUCUCCGUGGCAGCAAGGGGAAAAGGAGAUAUUGAUUCAGUCGGAGGUAGACUUUCGAUGAACGGAAGUAGAUGCACAAUGAGUACGUCCGAGGCCUGAGAACCUCCGAGUUCUGGAGGAGAACCUAUAGAAGGGCUUUAGCGUCAGAGUUUAGGAAGAUCAGAGCGGACACCAAUGGGAUAAUCCCCUUUCUAUUAGUAAGGUUGUCAAAAUGCUUUCCUUUAGUUCCUUUAUGACUAAACUAAUAUAAAAGGGUAGGGGGCGCUAACGAGCAAUCAAUAACCAAUGUUAGGAAUAACAGGAUAUUUUCGUAUUCGUAGCAUGCGGGGAAUCGAAAAUAGUAUGUUUUUCCUGGGAUAACUUUCAUCUGUCAAUAGAGUGAGAUGAAAAAUCCCGUGUUCACUGGAUUGGUUGCAAAACGAGACCCCGUUUAGGGCUCCAAGUAGGUUUUGUCCAAAUUUCCCGGGUUUCAUGAAACGCACCACUUCUUGUUCUUGGUCGGUAAGUGGUCAACCAGCGCUUAGUCACGUGAGGGAGGGCGGAAUGAACCUGGCGGGGAGUAUUAUAUAUUUUCAAACUACUCCUAGAUCUCCUCAAUAGGAACUGAACAGAACAGUGAAGGGGUGAUCCAAGAGUGGAGUGGGCUCGGGCGGAACAGCGUAGCCGGAGAGGGAGAACCAAUAGCGAACCAGGAAUCAAAUAUUUGAAGGAGGUUUUUCGGUUCUUCCACGAUUCUCCGCCAUCGGUAAAUCGAUGCUUAGGGCUAAGUGGUACCAUCAUCAUCACCGACUUAUUUAUGUGAUACUCGUCCAAUUUCCCUACUGGAAUCAUUCGACCGACCAUUGCCAUUAUCUUCAGAGGACUCUCCUCAGACAAGUUCUUAGGAAUAGGACUUGCCUCUUUAAAUAGAUUUCACUUAAUCUCUCCUUCCGGCUUUCUCCUCAAUAAAAUGAAAGGCUGCUUCUUGUUUUAUAAAUUUAUAACUCAAUAAUAAAUAUUUACUUGGCAUUAGGUUCGCGAAGCUCAAGAUCACAAAUAGAUGAGACAACUAUCUUUUCAUGAUCCAUCAGAAAAGAAAGAAAUUGAUAUGUAUCUGAUGGAGUCUACAUUGUACAUAGAGCGCCCAAGCGCUUUUUAGGCCAGCUCAGUUCUCUUAUCCAUCGGUCCAAUGCACUGGGCUCAUCUCAUGGAGGGAAAAGCCAAAAUGUAGUUGUCUUGUUCGCCGCCUCGACGCAUUCCCUUCUCUCCCCGGUAUCGUCCCACACAGAAAGAAAGAGCGCUGCCUCUGCUGAAAAAAGAGUUGGAAUUGAAUCUAAAGAGACUGCCUUUGACCUUUCAUCAACUAUAAGAUUGAAAGAGAGACCCCUUAAAAUUAGAAAAUGAAAAGUAGAACUUAUUAUCUAAGAAAAGGAGCCCAACGCAUGAGUUUUGACCGUUGAAUGUGGUCGGCCUAAGGAGAAACUAUGCGUUUUUGGGAUCUGCGUGCUCCCACCUCUAAGAGGUCCAAAUGGAUUGGACUUGAGUAGGUUGAAUGAUCUUAUUCUUACCACAUCUCCAAUGGUAAUGAAAAUCAAAAUGGUUGACCAAAUUUUUCAAAAGAGAAUCUAGCACAUCCAUACCAAUGACAAACAAGUAGGGGGACAAUCUGAAGCAGCAGCCUGCCUAAGCCCUUUGGUUUGGCUCCUCUGAAGAAGCCAUUCAGCUCCCCAUUUAUGGAAAUAGAGAAAGAAGGAGUGGUGAUACAUGUCCUGAUCCAUUGGAUGACAUUUGAAGGAUUGGACAGCUUUCCUUAGCCUUAAUCAUAUCCCUUCCUCUAAGGAGUGAAGUUUGAAGGAGAGAGAAAGCUCUUUUAUCAAAUAGGCUAGCUUCACUAAAGAAAUUGACUAUCAGAACAGAAACAAUACUACCCGAAAGCAUACCGCCCAAACAAAGGAUACCAUCUCAGGCAUAGCAGAAAGCAAGGUCAACCAAACCAAUCUACCCCAGCCACCCAAGCCAAUAUCGCCGACAAGGAAGGAAAGGCUACUGCCUUGGCUACUAAAGAAAGGAGUCUACCUAUCACUAAGUGGGAAAUGAACCCCGGUGCUAGCUUUUAUCCUCCACUCUCUAACUAAAAGCCGGUCUAAAAAGUGUAUUUUGGCUAAGUCAGCAAAGGGGUAUGCUUUUCUUUCGAGCUAGGUAGUGAGCGGACUAACCCUAAAAAAGGGAGAGAGAUUAUCCCGCAAGCGGUCCUGGAUAAAAUACAGUAGAUAUAGCAGGACUUUCUUUUCCCAGGUGGCGGAUGGGAGGUACAUAAACAAAGGGAAAUAUUAUUAAUAUCAUUACAUAGGGCAAAAGGCAGGUAAGGGUUAGAACCUCGUUUAUGAUACACCAACUACGGCCGGGAGCACCCACCACCAAGAAUAGCAUUUCAACCAAACCUGCUUUCCCGAGCAAAAGCAGGACCCUUGAAUUUCUUUAUCAAUCACACGUGGAUAGGGACAAAAGCCUGGACGAUAGAGGGGUAAGUGGGUGGGUCUACCGAUGGUGGUUUUAAGUCAUCAACAAAGCAACUUAUGCUUUUAGUGGAUUUGACGCCGGGUCCUGAUCUCCAACUAGAAAAGAAAGUGAAACUCGAUCUCGAGAUGCGCCGGCCGGGAUACCGCAGGCUCAGAUGGAGGGAAGGUGAGGCAGCGUGAUUGAUGGCUUUCAAAGAGCUCUGAAAGAGAUGCAAGGGAUGUGUAAACAUUAGCUAAUGCUGGCUAUCGAAAUGAAAAGGGCUCUGCAGGGGGUUUGGUAUUUAGGCUGCGGAGGAUUAGGGUUCCAAACCCGCGCCUUAGUCUCAAAUAGGCUUUCUUUGAAGGCGUAGGUUGGCCUGGGUUCUUGAUCUGUACCCAGGUUCACUUAUACUAGUUCAUCGACAGUGGCUUGCCCUCCAUCUUCCAGCUCUGGGGGAGCGUCUUUGAGCUCGGCAACCUCUUUGGGAGCUUGGUCUGCUGUGGCCACUUUCCCAAAGAUUCGUGUUAAGACGUCUUCUGGUUCCGACUCUUUUUAUGAUGAAUCAUUCUCUGAUGAAACAAACCCUCUUGUUUAGUUGGGAAGACAUUUCUCUUUCCUUUAGAGGAACAAAAUCUCUAUCCUCUGAUGAACUUCAUCCUCCAGUCACCUAUUAGACAAAUAGAAGAUCCAUUUCGAUGAUGAGAAUGAGAAGACGAGAAGACAGAGAUCCUACUUCUUCACAAGCCUUCUCUAGCACACCCACUCCUCAAAGAAAAAUGACUUCUGUGAUUCAAGGAAGACUUUUUGAAGAAAGAUAUUAGAUUCAAUUUCUAAGUUAAAGCAGCUUACCUGACGCUUAUUCGAGUGUGUAAAAUCGGGUACUUCUGCUCGUGCGAAAUGUCCUGAAGAAAAGCAAAAAGCAGGAAGCUAAGGCUCCAUGGUAAAAGAAUAAUAGCAACUCUUCACCAGUUCAGAGAUAAAAAAAAAGUGAAGUAGAUCUCUGUAAGAGAAAUGGCACCGUUCGAGGAAAUUACAGUAAAUGGAGAGUAUGUGGCUAAUCAAGUUCAUUCAUCUGAAGAUGUUUCACCUUCGGUAUUGCAUAAGCAGCUGAGCUGGACUAACCUAACUCUUAUCCAUAUCUAUACUAACCUUGGUAAUCUGCCAAAGUACCUGAAGGAUCUACAGAAUUGCCUCAAUGCCCGUUGACUUACUGGUCACGUUACUGAGUUCCUAGGAACGAGCAAGGAAGGAUUUUGAGCCCCAACGACAAAGGAACCUACGGGCGGGGCAUUUUCGGGGAGUAGCCCGCUUCCCAUUACUCAAUAGGGCAAUUCCUCGCACAUAAUUAAGGGAGCCAUUGAAAGGUGACUAAAACACCAGAAACGACGACUACCCGAGCUAAUGAUAGAGGCAAGAACACUUUCCGGCCAAGUCCCAUUAAUUGAUCAUAACGAUAUCGUGGAAAUGCUGCACGGACCCAUAUAUAUAGGAACGGAAACAGAAUCACCUUGAUCUGGUAAGGUCUGAUUGUUAUCUGUCAGUCUUGUUUUGCCCGCGGGAAGGAAGGAGUUAUGCUUCUCUAGAAUCGGGCCACUACGCACGUCUGUAUUUAAUGAUUUCUGGUGAUGAGGGGGUUUGAUGAAGGGUGCACGUCCGGAGCUGGUGUAGAGAGGUGGUGGGAGCGGCAUAAGAUCGCACGGGUCGGGCUCCCCAUUUCUUCUUGCUUUUCUAAUCUUCCUUUCUCUCAUUCCUUUUCUGACCAACGGCACUGAGCGUCAACCCGAAAGUCAAUGAGCACGGUACAUGCCUGACUUCUUGUUAUUUAUACCCUGGUUUCUAACGGUUCACUUCGCUAGCUUCGGUCCCCUACUUCUGGGAUCCCCUCCUUGGGGAUUGGCUAACAACAUCUGAUAUGUUCUACGCUCGGAGGUGCGGGACCCUCUUCGGCCCCUUGCCACCGGGUUUCUAGUCCGGUUGAUGCCGUAGGAAAACAAUAAACAAGAGCUACAACCACUAGAAAAGAAGAUGCUGACUUUAGCUCAGCUUCGGCACUUUCGGCUAAGGCAAGUAAAGAAUAAGAAAGCGGUAAGCCGGAGAGGAACGACGAGCGGAAAUCAGUAGUCACUCUGCUACUUAUCAUUGGAGAUGCGAAAUCUUCUUCUCUGUAUUAGCCACCCUUCUUCACAGAAAAAGAGAGCUCAGAAGACCUCGUCUAUUAUGGUACGGAUAAAUCAAUGGUACCGGAGACCCCCUUCUUUGCCCAUUUUUCUCUUUCGAAAAGAAACCACCGCCCUUGAUCGGAUCUAUCAGCAGCGGCAUUCUCCCUUGACUCUAUCUUUAAUUGAAUUAUGGAACUCUCUCCCAGAGCUGCAGAACUAACAACUCUAUUAGAAAGUAGAAUUAGCAACUUUUACACGAAUUUUCAAGUGGAUGAGAUCGGUCGAGUGGUCUCAGUUUCUUGCCCGGCUUUCUUUCGCUGAAGGGGAACUAGCCUACAACAACCUAUUCGCUUGCCUCUUUUAAUGAUAUAUCCCCGGGCUUUCUACCAGUCUUUACCUAUUUUCCUAUGGAGUGAUGGGCACAUGCUUCUCAGUACUGAUUCGUAUGGAAUUAGCACGACCCGGCGAUCAAAUUCUUGGUGGGAAUCAUCAACUUUAUAAUGUUUUAAUAACGGCUCACGCUUUUUUAAUGAUCUUUUUUAUUCAGGCGCUGAGGGAUCAGAUAGUGAGUUCGUUCUCCUAUUUACCGUAGAUGACUUUCCUAUAGAAUCGGUUCUUUUCUCGAGAACGAAAUAAAAAGCAGAAGAUUUCCAAAUGAAAUGAGGAAAGGAUGAGCAAAAAUGAAGAAAUGAAUCCUCGACCCCAAAGAAAAGGCGGAGUAAGGUGUAGUCUUCUUAGUAUCAAUACAAUAUCAAUAGGAUGAGGCCCCCAGCAAUGGGGGAAGGGAGAGUGGGUAGCGGGCUCCUUUCGCUUGACUUUUUAGGUUGCUUGCGAAGAUAACAUCAACCAUCAGGGACUGAAUCAAGCCUUGAAUCAAUACAUUGAUGAUCAAAAAUAGAAUAGAUAAGCUCAAAGAAUUCCUCAAGGAAGCUCUCUAUCACCCUACUCAUGAAUGUCUUCUUACUUUGAUCUGAAAAUGUUGAGUUACUUGAGUAAAAACAUCUGCUACGCUCGAUAUGCAGACGAUUGACUCUUUGCAGGGAAAUAGGCUUCUUCAGCCUGAAAAGCUCUUCUUAUCCCACCUUUAACCUACCCCGCCUGACGCCCUAAUCCAUUCCUUCGCGCUAUUGCUAUCGAAAAUAAUUAAUGUAGUUAGCAUAAUGCUUUUAAAGCUCUAGUAAAGGCAUAUGUGGUUAUUUAUGUAAUGUAGUGCUUUAUGUAGUAGUAAUGAAUAAAUCUUUUGUUAUCAAAAGCCUUGUUUUGGGCAUAACAAGCCCUGCCAACCGUUGACUGGCAUCUCACUCUAUCGAGGAACCCGGUUUGGCUUCAAUUGAGCGAUUUCAGCAAUCCAAGCGGCGGGUGGAAUGAGUCCCUCCUUUCCAAACUUGCUCGCUUUGCUGGUUUUAGGCUCUGAAAUCGAUGUUGUUGGCGAGCGUAGGAUGAGCUAUGUUCAUGCUAGCAUUAUCUCCCCUGAGUAAGAAGACCAUUUUAUGCGAUGCGAAGUGUUAAGCGCAUAAAAGAUCCGAUGAUCAUUUCACCAUCAUCCUCAUCAACGCAGGACCCACCUUCUUCAUCCAAUACCAUAGGCCCUCAGAAAACCCUUUUACGGAUCUCCUAAAUAAUGCCUCUCCUCUCCUCCUAUCUUGUAUAUAAGUUCUUUAGAAUUUCUCGUAUCGUUUUUCGUGGAUUAGCAUCUCGAGGUCCUUUGAUGGGCAUAAAGAAAUCGUCUUGGUAGCAGAGUUAGCUCCGCUGCUGGUCUACAAGCAAGGUAAGUAGGUCCAUUACCGGCAUUAACGCUGCAAAGACCAAUGCACCGAUUGCGGUACAAUAGGGUUGUAAUUCACUAGUUAUUCCAGAUGCUCGCCAAAUCUGAAAAAACCCAGAGGUUAUUUGGGCUGUUGGGCGUAAUCGUAAGAAUCACUUUUCAUUUCAUCCCUCUAGUUCCGCUUCUUGCUCUCAAAAUGAACUUCUUCAAGGAACUAGUGGCAACAGAAGAUGAGGGUUUUGUUUUGGUUCCUCUGGUGGUGCUUCCACGGGUAUGCUGCUUUGCCAUGGGUUGAUUUCAGCUGCUCUUUUGGGGAGGACAAGUAGUUUGACUUUAGUACUCAAUUUGAGACUUCUAGCCGGUCUGGAUUUCCAACGCCUCGGGAAACUGGUCGAGAUAGAUGACAGCACCUUUUUCCCCUCUUCCUUACCGGGAGGGCAAUCUUCUCUUAUGGCCUUCACCUCCCGCCCGGCCCGGAAAUAGAGAGAACCAAACCCCCUUCUGAUCCAUUCAUUUCUGCAAGUAGGGAGGAUCCAGAGCUAAGCCCCCUCCCAUUCGAGGCCGAGUGGCCUCGCCCCAUAAGCACCCAACCUUCCUUUUGCUCUUCCUUCGGUUUGCCUCCACGAACGCGCCACCUAGGAGCCCUACUCAUAUUCCAAAGGCGACCAGCUUUCAAUACUAGUUGUUACCUUACGCUGCCAUUUUUCCAAUAUUAUUGAAUAGCAUGGCCUGGGGCUAAGAUAACUCAAG